GAUGAACGCUCGCGGCAGGCCUAACCCCUGCAAGUCGAGGGAGAGGUUACCUUCGGGUCACCAAAACCGGCGCACGGGUGCGUAACGCGUAUACAAUCUGCCUUUCACAUAGGGAUAGCCCGAAGAAAUUUGGAUUAAUACCUAAUGGUAUAUAAAAGCGGCAUCGUUUUUAUAUUAAAGCUACGGUAGUGAAAGAUGAGUAUGCGUUCUAUUAGCUAGUUGGAGAGGUAACGGCUCCCCAAGGCGACGAUAGAUAGGGGUUCUGAGAGGGAUGUCCCCCACACUGGUACUGAGAUACGGACCAGACUCCUACGGGAGGCAGCAGUGAGGAAUAUUGGACAAUGGUCGGAAGACUGAUCCAGCCAUGCCGCGUGCAGGAUGAAGGUCCUAUGGAUGGUAAACGGCUUUUGUAAGGGAAGAAUAAGAGCUACGGGUAGUUUGAUGACGGUACCUUACGAAUAAGCAUCGGCUAACUCCGUG
rnacentral:rRNA from 1 species